rnacentral:rRNA from 1 species
UACGUAGGGGCUAGCGUUGUCCGGAUUUAUUGGCGUAAAGCGCGUGUAGGCGGCCUGACAGGUCUGCUGUGAAACUCGAGGCUCAACCUCGAGAUGUCGGCGGAAACCGUCUGGCUAGAGUCCGGAAGAGGAGAGUGGAAUUCCUGGUGUAGCGGUGAAAUGCGCAGAUAUCAGGAAGAACACCUAUGGCGAAGGCAGCUCUCUGGGACGGUACUGACGCUGAGACGCGAAAGCGUGGGAGCGAACGG